AUGGCCCCUCUCUACACCCUGAGGAUGAGGUCACCUCUCCUGCCAGCAGGUGGGAGGUCAGUGUCCCUGUGGCUCAGGGGCCACCAGCUGCUGUGCUGAAUCUGCUGGCACAAGGGAGUGAGGGCAUGCUCCCAGGGAAGGCAGGCUCUGCAGGAACCGCUGCAGGGAGGGGCUCCAACUCCAAGCUGCAAUUAAGCUUACAGCAAGUUCAGCAUGUUGUUCCCCCAGGUGCCCCAGGAGCACAGGUGGGAGCCAAGAGGCUGCUGUGCCACACAGGAUCAGGAGCAAGCAGCCAAAAUUAGGAGCUAACCAAGUAUGCCUUGCUGCAUCAUGAUACAAGAGCCCUACAGAUCCUGAAAAACAAAUGGGAGCAAGACUCUGAUUUCUCCAGAGCUUCGUUUCAGGCGUCAGUGUUGGCUGGGGGCAGCUGGAAGCAACUGAUAUCCUGCAGGAGCUGGUGUCCUAACUCUGGUGUUUAUCUGAGCCCAGAGACACGGUGGGAUGCUACGGCAUCCUUCUGCUGUCACAAUCAUUUCUGAGGCCACCUUGAGGGGUUUAGUGUCUCUGCUGAGCACUGUGCCAGCCCAGGAGCAAGUGCUGGGGAGGAACCACUCAGCUGGAACAGCUGCUGUUUUCAAGGUGCUGGAAUUGGGCAGAGAACUGAGCGUGCAUCACUUCUGCUUGUGUUACCUGUCAUCACCUGAAACGGCAUCAACUGUUGAUUCACACAGUGAGUUCUGCUGCAGCAGCCUCUGCUGUGACACACAGCAAUGGUUUCAAAGCCUGCCAGGGAGCUCUGACAUCAGGGCAUGCUUUUGGCUGUUGGCAGCCAGUGUUUGUAUUAUGUGUGCAAGGCCUUUCACUCAGCCACGUCCUGUGGACUUUCCAUGUAAAAGGCACUUCCAGCAGGUUUUAGGAAGGCCUGAACUACAAGCCACAAUCCCAAAAGUGUGCCAAAACUCUGAACAGCAAGCAAGUUAAAAGGUCCUCUGGAGAAGAACUGGCACUCCCCAGAAACAGAAGUGUUGAAAACCAUCAGGGCUUGCUGGCUUGCUUGCCUCUAGGAGAACAUUUUUUUUUCAGUCUGACAAGUACUGAAUUAAAAAGUGAAAUUUGGUAUUAAAUAUGUGAAUAUUGAAUUAUGGGCACCUUGAAAAUACAACACCAAAUAAAACAAGCUGAUUUGGGUGUAUACAGGAGUGAGCUGAAAAGUAAUCUUGUGCAAUUUCUUGCAUAAAAA